UCUCAAAGAUUAAGCCAUGCAUGUCUAAGUAAAACUUGGAAGAGCAAUCUUAAACAAGUGAAACCGCGAAUGGCUCAUUAAAUCAGUUACGGUUUAUUAGAUACAUAACUAACCUACAUGGAUAACUGUGGUAAUUCUAGAGCUAAUACAUGCACACAYACCACUCUUUMGGGAGUGGUGGCACUUAUUAGACCAAGACCAAACCUCCGUAACAAGAGGUGURAUGGUGACUCUGGAUAAUUGAGCAGAUCUCAGUACAACCCUUUGUGGUUGGAGACAAAUCUUUCAAGUGUCUGCCUUAUCAACUUUCGAUGGUAUGGUAUAUGCCUACCAUGGUUGUAACGGGUAACGGGGAAUCAGGGUUCGAUUCCGGAGAGGGAGCCUGAGAAACGGCUACCACAUCCAAGGAAGGCAGCAGGCACGCAAAUUACCCACUCCCAGAUCGGGGAGGUAGUGACGAAAAAUAACAAUACAGAACUCUUUAGAGGCUCUGUAAUUGGAAUGAACUUAUCUUUACUUAAAUCCUUAUUGUGAGGAUCAAUUGGAGGGCAAGUCUGGUGCCAGCAGCCGCGGUAAUUCCAGCUCCAAUAGCGUAUAUUAAAGUUGUUGCGGUUAAAAAGCUCGUAGUUGGAUCUCYCCAGCACUAGUGGACUGUUGGCCUACCCACGUAAGUGUGGUAGUGUCCAAACCACAAGUCUGGUUACAACAGUGUUGUACUUUGCUAUCCUUAAUCGGAUUGGCAUUGCCUUACACCUGUUACGUUUACUUUGAACAAAUUAGAGUGCUCAGAGCGGGCUUUAAACCUACUCCCAGUAGGUAGUAGCCACGUAUAGACACGCAUGGAAUAAUAGAAUAAGACUUAAGGUCUUACUUGUCUGUUGGUCUUAAAGACACUUAAGUAAUGAUUAAGAGGGACAGUCUGUCAGUUUGUCGGGGGCAUUUGUACUGCAACGCUAGAGGUGAAAUUCUUGGACCGUUGCAUGACAAACUACAGCGAAAGCAUUUGCCAAGAAUGUUUUCAUUAAUCAAGAACGAAAGUUAGAGGUUCGAAGGCGAUCAGAUACCGCCCUAGUUCUAACCAUAAACGAUGCCAACCAGCGAUUAGCCUGAGCCGAACCCCACCACACUUACCCCUACCCAGGGUGUGGUGUGUGUGGUUAAAUGACUCGGCUAGAAGCUUUCACCGGGAAACCUAUUGAGUAUUUGGGUUCCGGGGGAAGUAUGGUUGCAAAGCUGAAACUUAAAGGAAUUGACGGAAGGGCACCACCAGGAGUGGAGCCUGCGGCUUAAUUUGACUCAACACGGGAAAACUUACCCGGCCCGGACACUGGAAAGAUUGACAGAUUGAGAGCUCUUUCUUGAUUCAGUGGGUGGUGGUGCAUGGCCGUUCUUAGUUGGUGGAGUGAUUUGUCUGGUUAAUUCCGAUAACGAACGAGACUCUAGCCUAUUAAAUAGACACCCUACUUUCACACUCACGUGUGCUACGUAGAGGUGGUCGCUUCUUAAAGGGACAAAUGGCUAUACAAUAGCCAAAUGAAAAAGAGCAAUAACAGGUCUGUGAUGCCCUUAGAUGUCCGGGGCCGCACGCGCGCUACAAUGAAAUGUUAAAUGUGCACCCACGUACCACCUUCUCGUAACAGAGUGGUGGCAGUGGUACCUACUCUGUGAUAGAGUUUGGGCAACCAUACUACAAUACAUUUCGUGAUUGGGACUGAGCAUUGUAAUUAUUGCUCACUAACGAGGAAUUCCCAGUAAGCAUGAGUCAUAAGCUUGUGUUGAUUACGUCCCUGCCCUUUGUACACACCGCCCGUCGCUACUACCGAUUGAAUGAUUUAGUGAGGUCUUCGGACGAACCACUGCAGUUGGCCACCAAAGUCAACAGUGGAGGUUUGAAAGUUGACCAAACUUGAUCAUUUAGAGGAAGUA
rnacentral:rRNA from 1 species